rnacentral:rRNA from 1 species
GAUGAACGCUGGCGGCGUGCCUAAUACAUGCAAGUCGAGCGAACAGACGAGGAGCUUGCUCCUCUGACGUUAGCGGCGGACGGGUGAGUAACACGUGGAUAACCUACCUAUAAGACUGGGAUAACUUCGGGAAACCGGAGCUAAUACCGGAUAACAUGUUGAACCGCAUGGUUCAACAGUGAAAGACGGUUUUGCUGUCACUUAUAGAUGGAUCCGCGUCGCAUUAGCUAGUUGGUAAGGUAACGGCUUACCAAGGCAACGAUGCGUAGCCGACCUGAGAGGGUGAUCGGCCACACUGGAACUGAGACACGGUCCAGACUCCUACGGGAGGCAGCAGUAGGGAAUCUUCCGCAAUAGGCGAAAGCCUGACGGAGCAACGCCGCGUGAGUGAAGAAGGUCUUCGGAUCGUAAAACUCUGUUAUUAGGGAAGAACAAAUGUGUAAGUAACUAUGCACGUCUUGACGGUACCUAAUCAGAAAGCCACGGCUAACUACGUG